rnacentral:lncRNA from 1 species
UACUGUUACAUCAUUAAGGAACCCCAUGUCCUUAUUUACAUAUCAAGAAUCAAGGACCCUCAAGUCCGAUCACAUGUUUACAAAUAUAGUACUGGAGAGACUGCUAGCUCUCAUAUCAAUAUCAUCAUCAAGGAUCUUCAAGUCCUGAUGUAGUUGUAUGAUGAGGAUCAAGAAACUUCUGGUUCUGAUCUGUAUCCUUGUAAAAAAAACUCAUCAUACCACACAAUUAAUCCAUAAAAUAAAUUGCUUGUAAAUUAAAUUAUUGGUAAAUGAAUUGCUUGUAUGGACGAUAAACCCGCACCAUACGUUAAAUAAAAGUAAAUGUACGGUAAAGUAAAUUCAUAAAGUAUGAGGGUUAAUUCUUCAUCAUACUUUAAGUAAAAGUAAAUGUGCAGUAAAGUAAAUUCAUAAAGUAUGAGGGUUAAUUCCUCAUCAUACUUUAAGUAAAAGUAAAUGUGCGAUAAAAUAAAUUACUUGCUAUAUGGACGUUAAUUCCGCACCAUAUCUUAAAUAAAAUUAAAUGUGCGGUAAAGUAAAUUCAUAAAGUAUGAGGGUUAAUUCCUCAUCAUACUUUAAGUAAAAGUAAAUGUGCGAUAAAAUAAAUUGCUUGCUAUAUGGACGUUAAUUCCGCACCAUAUCUUAAAUAAAAUUAAAUGUGCGGUAAAGUAAAUUCAUAAAGUAUGAGGGUUAAUUCCUCAUCAUACUUUAAGUAAAAGUAAAUGUGCGAUAAAAUAAAUUGCUUGCUAUAUGGACGUUAAUUCCGCACCAUAUCUUAAAUAAAAUUAAAU